CUGGGAUCCGUUAAGCAUAACGAUGCUUAAUUGUGGCACGCGUGCCACGCCUACUUAGCACUUCCACUGUUUUUUCUGUUCCGUGAGAAGUACCCUAUAGAUUUUCUUGACAGACACAACAGAUGAACAGACAG